rnacentral:rRNA from 1 species
AGCUCCAAUAGCGUAUAUUAAAGUUGUUGCAGUUAAAAAGCUCGUAGUUGGAUUUGGGACUGGAGUCGUUCGGUCGGCCGCAAGGUCUGUUACUGAACGGCUCUGUCAUCACAUUCCCAGAGACCUGCCGUGUACUUAACUGUGCGCGGUACGGGAUUUGGGACGUUUACUUUGAAAAAAUUAGAGUGUUCAAAGCAAGCGUUUGCCCUGAAUACAUUAGCAUGGAAUAAUAGAAUAGGACCUGGUCUUGUUCUGUUGGUUUGUCUAGUUCAGGUAAUGAUUAAGAGGGACGGUCGGGGGCAUUUGUACUCCGGAGCUAGAGGUGAAAUUCUUGGAUUUCCGGAAGACAAACAGCUGCGAAAGCGUCUGCCAAGGACGUUUUCAUUGAUCAAGAACGAAA